rnacentral:rRNA from 1 species
GGGUCAGUAGGUUGGUCGUGCCACCGGUACGUACUGGUCUCACUGAUUCCUCCUUCCUGAAGAACCGUAAUGCCAUUAAUUUGGUGUUGCGGGGAAACAGGACUGUUACUUUGAAAAAAUUAGAGUGUUUAAAGCAAGCUAACGCUUGAAUACAUUAGCAUGGAAUAAUGUAAUAGGACGAUCGAUCCUAUUUUGUUAGUUUCUAGGAUUGACGUA